GCGGCGGGCCGGGCCCCUCUGACGCGAAAGCGCCAUGUCGGACCGCAUCG
rfam:Rhodobacter sp. CACIA14H1 contig00075, whole genome shotgun sequence.